rnacentral:rRNA from 1 species
AUUGAACGCUGGCGGCAGGCCUAACACAUGCAAGUCGAGCGAGCGGCGGACGGGUGAGUAAUGUCUGGGAAACUGCCUGAUGGAGGGGGAUAAGUACUGGAAACGGUAGCUAAUCCCGCAUAAAAUCAGAUAUGCACAGAUGGUAUUAGCGGGUAGGUGGGGUAACUGCUCACCUAGGAGACGAUCCCUAGCUGUUCUGAGAGGAUGCCCAGCCCCACUGGAACUGAGACACGGUCCAGACUCCUACGGUAGGCAGCAUUGGGAAAUAUUGCACAAUGGGCGCAAGCCUGAUGCAGCCAUGCCGCGUGUGUGAAGAAGGCCUUCGGGUUGUAAAGCACUUUCAGCGGGGAGGCGUUACCCGCAGAAGAAGCACCGGCUAACUCCGUGCCAGCAGCCGCGGUAAUUC